CUCCCGGUAGCUCAGCUGGAUAGAGCAACGGACUUCUAAUCCGUAGGUCGCGGGUUCGAAUCCCCCCCGGGAGGCCA
rnacentral:tRNA from 1 species